UAGCCAUGGUGUGGGCAUGCGAGAAGUAAUUCCUUAAACCGUUCCCAACACUCGAAAAAUGUUUCAUCCAUUUUUUGGAAGAAAUUUAUUGUCUUGUCUAAGAGUAU